rnacentral:rRNA from 1 species
GUAGGUGACAAGCGUUGUCCGGAAUUAUUGGGCGUAAAGCGCGCGCAGGCGGGUCCUUUAAGUCUGAUGCGAAAGCCCACGGGCUCAACCGUGGAGGGUCAUUGGAAACUGGGGGACUUGAGUACAGAAGAGGAAAGCGGAAUUCCAAGUGUAGCGGUGAAAUGCGUAGAGAUUUGGAGGAACACCAGUGGCGAAGGCGGCUUUCUGGUCUGUAACUGACGCUGAGGCGCGAAAGCGUGGGGAGCAAACAGGAUUAGAUACCCUGGUAGUCCACGCCGUAAACGAUGAGUGCUAAGUGUUAGGGGGUUUCCGCCCCUUAGUGCUGCAGCUAACGCAUUAAGCACUCCGCCUGGGGAGUACGGCCGCAAAGGCUG